UACGAGGGGGGGCAAGCGUUGUUCGGAAUUAUUGGGCGUAAAGAGCUCGUAGGCGGCUUGUCGCGUCGAAUGUGAAAUCUCAGGGCUCAACUCUGACAUUGCAUUCGAUACGGGCAGACUAGAGUUCGGUAGGGGAGUCUGGAAUUCCUGGUGUAGCGGUGAAAUGCGCAGAUAUCAGGAGGAACACCGGUGGCGAAGGCGGGACUCUGGGCCGAUACUGACGCUGAGGAGCGAAAGCGUGGGGAGCAAACAGG
rnacentral:rRNA from 1 species